rnacentral:rRNA from 1 species
UACAGAGGGGGCAAGCGUUAUUCGGAAUUAUUGGGCGUAAAGAGCGCGUAGGCGGUCCGGUAAGUCAGCUGUGAAAGUCCAGGGCUCAACCCUGGAAGGCCGGUGGAAACUGUCGGGCUAGAGUCCGGAAGAGGCGAGUGGAAUUCCCGGUGUAGCGGUGAAAUGCGCAGAUAUCGGGAGGAACACCAAUGGCGAAGGCAGCUCGCUGGGACGGUACUGACGCUGAGACGCGAAAGCGUGGGGAGCAAACAGG